rnacentral:tRNA from 1 species
UCUUUGGUGGUAUAGUGGUGAGCAUAGCUGCCUUUGAAGCGGGUCACCUGGGUUCGAUUCCCAGCCAAUGCA